UCUAGUGAUGAUGGCGGAAAGGUCACACCUGUUCCCAUCCCGAACACAGAAGUUAAGCUUUCCAGCGCUGAUGGUACUUGGACCGCAGGGUCCUGGGAGAGUAAGACAUCGCUAGGC
rfam:Tumebacillus algifaecis strain THMBR28 chromosome, complete genome.